rfam:Triticum aestivum genome assembly, contig: Triticum_aestivum_CS42_TGACv1_scaffold_030913_1BL
CAGGUACUCCCUCCGUCUUGAAAUACUUGUCAUCAAAAUUAAUAAAAGGGGAUGUAUCUAGAUAUAUAUUAGUUCUAGAUACAUCAUUUUUUAUCCAUUUAACGACAAAUAUUUUGAGAUGGAGGGAGUACAAC